GACGUAGGGCGCGAGCGUUGUCCGGAUUUAUUGGGCGUAAAGAGCUCGUAGGCGGCUUGUUGCGUCGACCGUGAAAACUUGGGGCUUAACCCCAAGCUUGCGGUUGAUACGGGCAGGCUAGAGUUCGGUAGGGGAGACUGGAAUUCCUGGUGUAGCGGUGAAAUGCGCAGAUAUCAGGAAGAACACCUAUGGCGAAGGCAGCUCUCUGGGACGGUACUGACGCUGAGGCGCGAAAGCGUGGGGAGCAAACAGG
rnacentral:rRNA from 1 species